CACGUAGGGUGCGAUCGUUGUCCGGAAUUAUUGGGCGUAAAGAGCUCGUAGGCGGUGUGUCGCGUCGGCCGUGAAAACCUGCAGCUUAACUGUGGGCUUGCGGUCGAUACGGGCAUCACUGGAGUUCGGCAGGGGAGACUGGAAUUCCUGGUGUAGCGGUGAAAUGCGCAGAUAUCAGGAGGAACACCGGUGGCGAAGGCGGGUCUCUGGGCCGAUACUGACGCUGAGGAGCGAAAGCGUGGGGAGCGAACAGG
rnacentral:rRNA from 1 species